AACGAACGCUGGCGGCAUGCCUAACACAUGCAAGUCGAACGAGACCUUCGGGUCUAUUGGCGCACGGGUGCGUAACGCGUGGGAACCUGCCCUUAGGUUCGGAAUAACUCUCCGAAAGGGGUGCUAAUACCGGAUAAUGUCUUCGGACCAAAGAUUUAUCGCCCUUGAUUGGGCCCGCGUUGAAUUAGCUAUUUGGUAGGGUAAAAGACUACCAAGGCGACCAUCCACACAUGGUCUGAGAGGAUGAUCAGCCACACUGGGAGUGGGACACGGCCCAGACUCCUACGGGAGGCAGCAGUGGGGAAUGUUGGACAAUGGGCGGAAGCCUGAUCCAGCAAUGCCGCGUGAGUGAUGAAGGCCUUAGGGUUGUAAAGCGCUUUUACCCGUGAUGAUAAUGACAGUACCGGGAGAGUAAGCUCCGGCUAACUCCGUG
rnacentral:rRNA from 1 species